rnacentral:rRNA from 1 species
CAGUGGCGAACGGGUGAGUAACACGUGAGUAACCUGCCCCUGACUCUGGGAUAACUGCUGGAAACGGUGGCUAAUACCGGAUAUGAGAUCUUGCCGCAUGGUGGGGUUUGGAAAGUUUUUCGGUCAGGGAUGGACUCGCGGCCUAUCAGCUUGUUGGUGGGGUGAUGGCCUACCAAGGCGACGACGGGUAGCCGGCCUGAGAGGGCGACCGGCCACACUGGGACUGAGACACGGCCCAGACUCCUACGGGAGGCAGCAGUGGGGAAUAUUGCACAAUGGGCGAAAGCCUGAUGCAGCGACGCCGCGUGAGGGAUGAAGGCCUUCGGGUUGUAAACCUCUUUCAGCAGGGAAGAAGCGAAAGUGACGGUACCUGCAGAAGAAGCGCCGGCUAACUACGUGCCAGCAGCCGCGGUAAUACGUAGGGCGCAAGCGUUGUCCGGAAUUAUUGGGCGUAAAGAGCUCGUAGGCGGUUUGUCGCGUCUGCUGUGAAAACCUAAGGCUCAACCUUGGGCUUGCAGUGGGUACGGGCAGACUAGAGUGCGGUAGGGGUGACUGGAAUUCCUGGUGUAGCGGUGGAAUGCGCAGAUAUCAGGAGGAACACCGAUGGCGAAGGCAGGUCACUGGGCCGCAACUGACGCUGAGGAGCGAAAGCAUGGGGAGCGAACAGGAUUAGAUACCCUGGUAGUCCAUGCCGUAAACGUUGGGCACUAAGGUGUGGGGCUCAUUCCACGAGUUCCGUGCCGCAGCAAA